UACGUAGGGGGCAAGCGUUGUCCGGAUUUAUUGGGCGUAAGGAGCUCGUAGGCGGUUCAGUAAGUCGGGUGUGAAAACUCUGGGCUCAACCCAGAGACGCCACCCGAUACUGCUGUGACUUGAGUACGGUAGGGGAGUGGGGAAUUCCUGGUGUAGCGGUGAAAUGCGCAGAUAUCAGGAGGAACACCAGUGGCGAAGGCGCCACUCUGGGCCGUAACUGACGCUGAGGAGCGAAAGCGUGGGUAGCAAACAGG
rnacentral:rRNA from 1 species